UUUACAUAUUUACAAUAUAUUGUCAUAUUCACAAGAAAUGUUUUCAGUCAUCUUUGAGUGAAAAUUAUGGAAUUAAAAAAUAUCAAUAAAUCUUUUUUUUUUUUUUGUUGAAUAAUAUGCUGCAUUUUAUAGAACCAUUUGAGUUUUCGUGUUACAUAGUUCACAAUCUUACUAUUUUUACCAGUUCAACAAUUUAUUAUUAUUUUGUUAAAGGAUCACACACAAGAAAAUAUCACAACAAAUAAAUAUAUAAUGAUAACUGUUAGAAAGCCUGUCCUAGGAACUUAAAUUAGUAAUUGUUUCCCGCACGGACAUUUUUACAUGACGCACACCAGUACGGACUGAAUGCCAUUCACUGUUUAUGCCGCAGGUUAUGCUCUGCAAAUGCGUUUAUGUUAUACAAGUGAGUACAUAUAUAUGUUUGAUUCUGAUUAUUAUAUGUCAUGUAUGUUAUUGGUCACUUUCAGUGUUUUUGACGAUCGUUUUUCCCGUUAAUUUCGGCCGUAAUUUGCCGAUCUAAUUUGCUGAGUCAUCGCCCUCCACACUAAUGCUACGUGCGAAUGCGGCCAGUGUUUGUUUACAUAACGAUUUAUAGUGCCCUGUUAUUUAGUUUACUGUUGUAUUUCAGUUCAUUUCAUUGCUAUAACAGGCGGAAAUACAGACUGUAUCAUGUAUAUCUUGUAUUGUGUUAGUUAAUAUUUCUCAUUGUGUUAGUACAAUAAGACACAAAUGUUAGAUGAAUAUUUUUUGGUAAAUUAUUUCUCUUUAUUUCCUUUUGUAGACCAUACCCACACAUUCUUUGCAAUAUCUCCAGUGCAUACCUCAGCUGCAUAUUCAGGACAGAAAUAAAUGCUCAUCAGAAAGAAUCUCUUCUCCACUCUUGAUUUUCUAACCGAAAUCAGAUCCAUAUUUGGCCGCCUUAGCCAGCUAAAAAUCUUGAAUGUAGUGGGACUUCACUACAUUUUAUGGUCCUUCGAGCCGGAUGAGAGCAAUAAUACACCAAUAUGGAUCCAGCAAAUGAUGACGCAUCAGAGACAAUGGAAAGACCACGACGUAAGACUCAUCUCCCUUCUCAUCUGGACGAUUAUGAGGUUGGCUAUCGACCCACUGAGGACCCUCCUCCCAAAGCUUCUUCCCACUGUCCCAGUAAGUCAAGAAGCAGCUCGAGGAAAACGUCUCAUAGCGGUGUAAGCUCUCACUCCAGGACAAGUAGGCGAUCUGUCACCUCCACAGGCGUUUAUCUUCCACCUGAGCUCUCCAGCGUUCAGACUGCUAUAUUGGAGGAGAAGAUUAAACAAAGGCAGUUAGACAGUCUUCGUCAGCAGGUUGCAGAGGACUCAUUGGCUGAUGUAGAAUACCAGCGGCUACAGGCACAAGCUAAAGAAGCCCAGCAAGUUCAAGAGGAAGCUCUCAGAGCAAAGGAAACCUUAUCAAAGCAGCUAGAAAGACAGCGUAAGCUGCAACAAGCAGAAACUGAGCUUGAGGUAGCUAAGCUUGUGUCCUCUAUGCUUGUUAAAGACUCUGGUUCGACCACUCCUAUCCAUACAAGCUCACCCGGCAACCAUUUGUCUCUAUCUCAGCCUGUAUGUGUCGAUCAAGCCAUAAGUUCAUCUCAUCUCUCAUCCUCUUUCCAGCAGCCCGCUACUCAGUCACCCGCUGUGACGUCAACAAUACAGACUUGUCAUGCAGAGCAGGGUAUUUCUGAUGACUCCUGGGUGUCUCAGCCAUCAUUUAGACCUCUGCAAUUGACAGCUGAGUCUAAAGGUGCACCAUUUACUGCAGUGCCACAAGGAGGCUCAUCGUCGGUCUCUAAGGUAUCUCAGACUGCCCCUAUAACUAUGCCAGUUCGAACUGUGUUAUCUGCAACAAAUAUGAUAUCCCAACCACAUUUGAGAGCUCCAGUCAUGUCCACUUCUGCACUUCCCUUACAUACAAGCAUGCAGUCUAUGCCACCACCGCCUAUCACAGCCACCCCGCAGCUGGCUACAUCAUAUACUGUACCACAAACUGUAAUACCUCCAGUGACAGCACAUGCACGUCUGUUACAGCCUCCAAUCACCAGCCACCCGCCACCUGUUUUGCAACCUACCAGCCUUAGCUAUGUGCAGCCACCACCAUUCAUGCACAACAGUCACCCUGCACAUAUGGGUACAGAGCUACUGUUUGCAUCGGCCUACGGCAUCCCACAGCCUAAGUUACCAGUGUUUGAAAGUGGUAACGAGAGUGACUUUGCCCUGCUAAAAUUAGCGUUGGACAAUUUGUUGACUAAUCACAACCAUCUCAGUGAGCAAUACAAGUACCAUGUCUUAUUAAGCCACUUAAAACUUCCCAGUGCUCAGCAGCUGGCCAAAGCCUACAUGUAUCAUCCUCGUCCUUAUUCAGCUGCACUACAGGCUCUUCAAGACAAGUAUGGCCAGCCGCGACAGCUUGUCCAGUCAGAGCUGGGUGUAAUGAUGAACACUCCACCAAUCAGAAUGGGUGAUGCGAAUGCUUUUGAUAACUUUGCCUUAUCUGUUCAGUCGUUGGUGGGCAUGCUAAGGACACUUGAGGGCCAGAAUGGUUACGAGCUCAUGUGUGGCUCUCACGUCGAUCGCCUGUUAAGUAAACUGCCAUCUGCCUAUCGUGAUGGUUUUGUUGAAUACUGCCUGAGCAGGGGGAUUCUCCAAACAGGUACCGAUAGGACCUACACACUUCCUGAUCUAGCCACCUGGUUAGAGAUCAAAUCUCAAGCAAAACGCAUCUCCAAUCGAGCCGCAACUUUGUUCCAGAGUGAACUAUCCAAGCCUCAUGGUAGGGUCACAGUGUCUACUCGCCCGAAGGAGCGGGCAACACCAGUACUCUUGGCCAAUGAGAGGGGCACACCUCCCCCUGGAUUUGCCGCCCAGAAACCCAAUACAAAGCUGAAACCAUACUGCCCCCAUUGUGACAACAGGGACCAUUACCUCAACUCUUGUGACCAGUUCAAGAAGUUGACCUCGGAUCAAAUUGUCACUUGGAUUAAAGAGGGAAACCGUUGCUGGAGAUGUGGCAGGACACAUGCAGUAGAGACCUGUAACCUUAAGCGCCCAUGUAAGGUCUGCAAAGAACUUCACCUCAUAGUUCUACAUAACACUAUUAAUGACACGUCCAAGGCUGUACUUAUGGUGAGCAUGCCGUCCACCAGGGUUUACCUCGACAGACCUAACCGUUCACCAAAGGUUAUGUUGAAAGUAGUUAAGGUCCUUCUCCACCAUGGCCACCGCACUAUGGAAACUCAUGCAGUCCUUGACGACGGGUCAGAGAGGACAAUAGUAUUACAGCCAGCAGUACGGCAGCUAAAGUUAACCGGGACCACUGAAUUGCUUCCCCUACAGACAAUUCAACAGUGCCACACAGAGCUGGAAGGGCGGUCAAUCUCCUUUGAGGUGUCCUCUGUCACAAAGCCCAUGGUAAAGUUUGCUAUAUGCAACGCAUUCACUGCAACCGGUUUGUGCCUAGCAGAGCACAACUACCCAGUAACUGCUCUCCAGAAUGCCCAUCGACACUUGAAGGAUCUGCCACUGCCUCCCGUGGACAGGGUAAAGCCACUGCUCCUUAUUGGAUCUGACAAUCCUCACCUUCUGACACCCAUCCAGCCUGUCUGCGAAGGCCCAGUAGGGGGGCCCAUUGCGGUCUGCACGCAACUCGGAUGGUGUCUCCAAGGCCCGAUGAGUCCUAUGCAGUCCUCACGAGGAAAGCAGCAAUGUCUUAACAUCAUGACAGCUCCAGCCCGUGAUGAACUUAUCCAUCAUGUAGAAAGACUCUGGCAAGUUGACACCCUUCCGUACAAUGAGAAAAUAAUCACCAGGUCUAAGCAAGAUAAGGAAGCUUACAACAUGCUUCAGGAUUCUACCAUCAGAGUAAAUGUGGAUGGUGUUCAACGCUACGCUACACCCCUGCUGAGACGGACACCUGUGAGUUUGCUCCAUGCAGAAAAGGAUGCAGUUCUACCCAGUUUACGCAGCACAGAGCGCCGGCUGUCACGGGAUCCGGAGAGGGCUAAAGCAUACUGCACUGAGAUCCAGAAGUUGGAGGCAGCUGGAUAUGUUGCCAAGAUAACUGCGGAGGAAGCCAACAAGAGUAACGAGUCUUGGUAUAUUCCGCAUCACGUUGUACAUCACAACAACAAAGACCGGAUUGUCUUUAACUGUUCCUUUCAACAUCAAGGACAGUCAUUGAACAGUCAGCUACUGCCUGGACCAACUUUGGGACCAUCGUUAUUGGGAGUCCUCCUGAGAUUCCGGCAGCAUGCUGUUGCUGUAAGCGGUGACAUAAAAGGCAUGUUCCACCAGGUACGUCUGCUGCCCAAAGACAAACAGGUGCUUCGUUUCCUAUGGAGGGACAUGUGCAGGGAUAGAGAGCCCGAUAUAUACGAAUGGCAGGUGCUUCCCUUCGGAACUACCUGUAGUCCAUGUUGCGCCAUCUUUGCCCUCCAACACCAUGCACAAGGACACAAAGGUGACAUGCCUAAGUUGGUUAACAUAGUGGAGAACUCCUUUUAUGUUGAUAACUGUCUUUACAGCACACCAACAGCCAAGGAAGCUAAGGACGUUGUGGAUGGACUGCGUCAGUUGCUGGCUGAGGGAGGCUUUGAUUUAAGACAGUGGGCCUGUAAUGUACCAUCUGUGAUCCAGCAUCUUCCCGCAGAGGCCUUGUCUACCAACAGUGAACGAUGGUUAACCAAAGCUAGUACAGACCUGCAAGAACCCACUCUUGGCCUACGGUGGAAUUGUCUCAAUGAUUCUCUGGGUUACAAUUUACGUUCUGCAGAGCCAUUGGAGCCUACUAUGAGGAACAUGUACAAGACAUUGGCCAGUCAGUAUGAUCCUUUAGGAUUUAUUAUCCCGUUCACUACAAGGGCUAAAGUCCUCAUUCAGGACCUUUGGAAGCAAAACUUGGGCUGGGAUGAUCUGAUUGAGCCUGCACAGCUGAGGAAUAAGUGGUUAACCUGGGUAGGAGAAAUUCCAACACUCCUUCAGUUGCAGUUCCCUCGACUAUACACACCAGUCUGGCCUGAUAAUCCUCCUGUCACUCGAGAGCUACACAUCUUUUGUGACGCAUCUGAAAGAGCGUAUGGGUCAGUGGCUUAUUUACGUGCUUCUGAUGAUCAAGGACAUGUUGCCGUCACCUUUGUCUUGGCUCGAUCGAGAGUGGCCCCCAGAAAAUGCCUAUCCAUGCCUCGUUUGGAGCUAAGUGCAGCACUGACCGGCGCCCAGUUAGCCCAAGUAAUACAAAAUGAGUUAACUCUUCCCAUCGAUUCAGUCACUCUCUGGUCUGACUCAACAACUGUGCUGUACUGGUUGACCGCAGAGUCUUGCCGCUACAAGGUGUUUGUUGGAGGACGUGUAGCUGAAAUACAGACUCUCACUGAGACAGCUGAAUGGAGGUAUGUUGAUUCGGCCAACAACCCGGCUGACCAUAUCACAAGGGGUCUAACUUUAGCGGAGCUAACAGGCCCUCACCAAUGGAAUUCAGGACCAUCCUUUCUCCUUAAAUCCGUUGACCAAUGGCCAUCCAUUCCCAAGCUAGCGGUAGAACCAGAACUCAGUGAAUUAAAGAAAGCUGCCUUCGUUGGUACUAUUUCAGUGAAUAACCCUUCACUCCCAGACCCAACUCAGUUCUCUACAUGGCAAGAACUUGUCCAGGCCACUGUUAGGUCCCUGCACGGGGCGGCUAUUGCUGAUAAUAACUUCUCUAGUGACGCAGCUGACUAUAUUGAAGCUGAGAAACUCCUCCUGGUACAGGCUCAAAGUGACUCGUUCCCAUACGAGGUCAAGGCUCUGAAGACUGCCCAAUCUCUACCUUCUGACAGUCGUUUGAUCUCUCUUGCCCCUGAGUUUGAUGAAGCCACAGGUCUCAUCCGAGUAGGUGGAAGAUUACGUCGGACUGACAGCCUAGACUUGGAUUCUAUCCACCCAAUUGUGUUGGAUCCUGGCCACCCUGUCACCAAGCUGUUAAUUAAGGAGACAGAUCAGCGACUCCUUCACCCAGGCUCCGAACGGGUCCUAGCUGAACUGCGCCGCCAGUAUUGGGUAUUGAGAGGCAGAGAAGCAAUUCGGAAACAUCAGCACACAUGUAGAGACUGUCAGUUCUGGCGUGCUAAACCUCAGACACCCCAAAUGGCUGAUCUUCCAUCCAGCAGACUGCAACUUUACAAACCCCCGUUCUACUCUACAGGGGUAGAUUGCUUUGGCCCCUUCACGGUUAAAGUUGGUCGUCGCCAAGAGAAGAGGUGGGGAGUCCUCUAUAAAUGUAUGACAACCAGGUGCGUGCAUCUAGAUCUACUGGAACAACUAGACACUGAUGCAUUUCUGCUUUCUCUGCGUCGCUUCAUCGCAAGACGAGGCAAGCCCAUGGAAUUGCUAUGUGACAAUGGCACUAACUUCGUUGGAGGGGAUCGAGAAUUACGAGAGACCUUCAAUGCCAUGGCACCAAAGCUGCAGGAGCAGCUUGCGGAGCAAAGGAUUCGAUUUCGCUUUAACCCACCAAGUGCUCCUCAUUUCGGGGGAACCUGGGAGCGUGAGGUCAAAUCGGUGAAGUCCGCUUUACGUGUCAUCCUGCGAGAGCAGUCAGUGCCAGAGGCAGUAUUGCAAACCCUGUUAGUGGAGGUGGAAGGCAUUCUGAAUUCCAAGCCACUUGGCUACAUAUCCUCUGACGUUGCAGACUUGGACCCAGUGACUCCCAACCUGCUCCUUAUGGGCCGACGUGAUGCCUCACUUCCUCAGGUUCUGUAUGACUCCAACAACUUGCUCGGCAGACGCAGAUGGAGACAUAGCCAGGUGUUGGCUGAUAAUUUCUGGACUGCCUUCAUCCGCCAUCAUCUCCCAAGUUUACAGGAUCGCCAGAAGUGGAGGAAGGAUGGCAAGGAACUUACCGUGGGCCAAGUAGUUCUUAUUGUUGAUCCACAACUCCCACGUGCUUUAUGGCCUGUAGGAACAGUGUCUGAAACGUUACCUGGAGCUGACGGUAAAAUUCGUACCGUUAGAGUUAAAGUUAAGGAAAAAACUUACACUCGUCCAGUUGUGCGAUUAAUUCCCCUUCCGCACCUAGAGGAUAAUGUUCCUGACACGGCAGACAAACUUUCUUAAAAUGUACAAUUAUCCUGACAGAUAAUUGGGGGCGGCUGUGUUAGAAAGCCUGUCCUAGGAACUUAAAUUAGUAAUUGUUUCCCGCACGGACAUUUUUACAUGACGCACACCAGUACGGACUGAAUGCCAUUCACUGUUUAUGCCGCAGGUUAUGCUCUGCAAAUGCGUUUAUGUUAUACAAACCAUACCCACACAUUCUUUGCAAUAUCUCCAGUGCAUACCUCAGCUGCAUAUUCAGGACAGAAAUAAAUGCUCAUCAGAAAGAA